UACGGAGGGUGCAAGCGUUGUUCGGAAUCACUGGGCGUAAAGGGCGUGUAGGCGGUCCGCUAAGUCUGAUGUGAAAGCCCGAGGCUUACCCUCGGAAGUGCAUUGGAGACUGGCGGACUGGAGUCCCGAAGAGGAGGGUGGAAUUCCUGGUGUAGCGGUGAAAUGCGUAGAUAUCAGGAGGAACACCGGUGGCGAAGGCGGCCCUCUGGACGGUGACUGACGCUGAGACGCGAAAGCGUGGGGAGCAAACAGG
rnacentral:rRNA from 1 species